UUCUAAGGGCGUUGAAGCAUGAUCGCAAGGACAUGUGGAGCGCUUAGAAGUGAGAAUGCCGGUGUGAGUAGCGAAAGACGGGUGAGAAUCCCGUCCACCGAUUGACUAAGGUUUCCAGAGGAAGGCUCGUCCGCUCUGGGUUAGUCGGGUCCUAAGCUGAGGCCGACAGGCGUAGGCGAUGGAUAACAGGUUGAUAUUCCUGUACCACCAUUAUUCGUUUUAAGCGAUGGGGGGACGCAGUAGGAUAGGCGAAGCGUGCUGUUGGAGUGCACGUCCAAGCAGUGAGAUUGAGUGUUAGGCAAAUCCGGCACUCUUAAGAUUGAGCUGUGAUGGGGAGAGGAACUUGUUCCUCGAGUCGUUGAUUUCACACUGCCGAGAAAAGCCUCUAGCUAGAAUAACGGUGCCCGUACCGCAAACCGACACAGGUAGUCAAGAUGAGAAUUCUAAGGUGAGCGAGCGAACUCUCGUUAAGGAACUCGGCAAAAUGACCCCGUAACUUCGGGAGAAGGGGUGCUCUUUGAGGUUCACGCUUCGAAGAGCCGCAGUGAAUAGGCCCAAGCGACUGUUUAUCAAAAACACAGGUCUCUGCUAAACCGUAAGGUGACGUAUAGGGGCUGACGCCUGCCCGGUGCUGGAAGGUUAAGAGGAGUGGUUAGCGCAAGCGAAGCUACGAAUCGAAGCCCCAGUAAACGGCGGCCGUAACUAUAACGGUCCUAAGGUAGCGAAAUUCCUUGUCGGGUAAGUUCCGACCCGCACGAAAGGCGUAACGAUUUGGGCACUGUCUCAACGAGAGACUCGGUGAAAUCAUAGUACCGGUGAAGAUGCCGGUUACCCGCGACAGGACGGAAAGACCCCGUGGAGCUUUACUGUAGCCUGAUAUUGAAAUUCGGUACAGUUUGUACAGGAUAGGUAGGAGCCUUAGAAGCGUGAGCGCUAGCUUACGUGGAGGCAUUGGUGGGAUACUACCCUAAUUGUAUUGGAUUUCUAACCCGCAGCACUUAUCGUGCUGGGAGACAGUGUCAGGCGGGCAGUUUGACUGGGGCGGUCGCCUCCUAAAGAGUAACGGAGGCGCUCAAAGGUUCCCUCAGAAUGGUUGGAAAUCAUUCAUAGAGUGUAAAGGCAUAAGGG
rnacentral:rRNA from 1 species